rnacentral:rRNA from 1 species
UACGUGGGGUGCAAGCGUUAUUCGGAAUUACUGGGCGUAAAGGGCGCGUAGGCUGAUUCAUAAGUCGUCUGUGAAAUCCCUGGGCUUAACCCGGGAGCGGCAGGCGAAACUGUAAGUCUUGAAUACUGGAGAGGGUAGUAGAAUUCCUGGUGGAGCAGUGAAAUGCGUAGAGAUCAGGAGGAAUACCGGAGGCGAAGGCGGCUACCUGGCCAUGUAUUGACGCUGAGGCGCGAAAGCGUGGGGAUCAAACAGG